UACAGAGGGUGCAAGCGUUAAUCGGAAUUACUGGGCGUAAAGCGCGCGUAGGCGGUUAUUUAAGUCGGAUGUGAAAUCCCCGGGCUCAACCUGGGAAUUGCAUUCGAUACUGGAUAGCUAGAGUUCGGCAGAGGGAAGCGGAAUUUCUGGUGUAGCGGUGAAAUGCGUAGAUAUCAGAAGGAACAUCAGUGGCGAAAGCGGCUUCCUGGACCAGAACUGACGAUCAGGCUCGAAAGCGUGGGGAGCAAACAGG
rnacentral:rRNA from 1 species